AUUGAACGCUGGCGGCAUGCCUUACACAUGCAAGUCGAACGGCAGCACGGGAGCAAUCCUGGUGGCGAGUGGCGAACGGUGAGUAAUGUAUCGGAACGUACCUUUCAGUGGGGGAUAACGUAGCGAAAGUUACGCUAAUACCGCAUAUUCUGUGAGCAGGAAAGCAGGGGAUCGCAAGACCUUGCGCUGAUUGAGCGGCCGAUAUCAGAUUAGCUAGUUGGUGAGGUAAAGGCUCACCGAGGCGACGAUCUGUAGCGGGUCUGAGAGGAUGAUCCGCCACACUGGAACUGAGACACGGUCCAGACUCCUACGGGAGGCAGCAGUGGGGAAUUUUGGACAAUGGGCGCAAGCCUGAUCCAGCCAUGCCGCGUGAGUGAAGAAGGCCUUCGGGUUGUAAAGCUCUUUCAGCCGGGAAGAAAACGCAUGGGUUAAUACCCUGUGUGGAUGACGGUACCGGAAUAAGAAGCACCGACUAACUACGUG
rnacentral:rRNA from 1 species